UACGAAGGGGGCUAGCGUUGCUCGGAAUCACUGGGCGUAAAGCGCACGUAGGCGGCUUCUUAAGUCAGGGGUGAAAUCCUGGAGCUCAACUCCAGAACUGCCUUAGAUACUGAGAAGCUUGAGUCCGGGAGAGGUGAGUGGAACUGCGAGUGUAGAGGUGAAAUUCGUAGAUAUUCGCAAGAACACCAGUGGCGAAGGCGGCUCACUGGCCCGGUACUGACGCUGAGGUGCGAAAGCGUGGGGAGCAAACAGG
rnacentral:rRNA from 1 species